rnacentral:rRNA from 1 species
GUGUAUAUAGGAAAGGUGGUGUGAGCUACCGCUUACAGAUGACCUCGCGUCCGAUUAGCUAGUUGGUGGGGUAACGGCCUACCAAGGCAACGAUCGGUAGCCGGCCUGAGAGGGUGGCCGGCCACACUGGAACUGAGACACGGUCCAGACUCCUACGGGAGGCAGCAGUGGGGAAUCUUGCGCAAUGGGCGAAAGCCUGACGCAGCGAUGCCGCGUGAACGAAGAAGGCCUUCGGGUCGUAAAGUUCUUUCGCUGGGG